rnacentral:rRNA from 1 species
CCUACGGGUGGCUGCAGUGGGGAAUAUUGGACAAUGGGGGCAACCCUGAUCCAGCCAUGCCGCGUGUGUGAAGAAGGCCCUCGGGGUGUAAAGCACUUUCAGUGAGGAAGAACGCCUGGUGGUUAAUACCCAUCAGGAAAGACAUCACUCACAGAAGAAGCACCGGCUAACUCCGUGCCAGCAGCCGCGGUAAUACGGAGGGUGCGAGCGUUAAUCGGAAUUACUGGGCGUAAAGCGCGCGUAGGUGGCUUGAUAAGCCGGUUGUGAAAGCCCCGGGCUCAACCUGGGAACGGCAUCCGGAACUGUCAAGCUAGAGUGCAGGAGAGGAAUGUAGAAUUCCCGGUGUAGCGGUGAAAUGCGUAGAGAUCGGGAGGAAUACCAGUGGCGAAGGCGGCCUUCUGGACUGACACUGACACUGAGGUGCGAAAGCGUGGGUAGCAAACAGGAUUAGAUACCCCGGUAGUC